rnacentral:lncRNA from 1 species
ACUUUUCGUGAGGCGUCACAUCCUGCUGCUUCACCCUCUGGUGCACGGGAGGACCAACUAUUUCAGUCGAAGGUGCUCAGAGUAAUGCUCAUGAACACUUGUGGACCAGAGAUGAGCUGCCUUCCCAAAACGUAGAAUAAUGACUCCAAAGAUAUCCACAUCCUAAUCCCUGGGACCUAUGAAUAUGUUACCUUACAUGGUAAAAGGGAUUUUGCAGAUGUGAGUAAAUGAAGACUCUUGAUAUGAGGAGAUUACCUUGGAUUAUCCAUGUGGACCCGAGGAUAUCUAUGAGGGAAAGAGGGAUGCAGGAGAGUCAGAGUCGGAAAAAGGAAU